rnacentral:lncRNA from 1 species
CCAGAAUAUAAAUAUGUGACAGAAAUUGGCAUAAAAUGAUUGGCAUGGACAGCAUUUCAUUUUUAUGAUAACAUGCUGUGCAUCAUUAUGUAAAACAAAUCGACGAAACUAUGGGUGAUAGCCAACAUGGCCAUGUCUAGACCUGUACCUGAUAGGUGCCAAUAAUAGCCUACUGUUGAGAUAUUUGCAACCAUAACAGAAAAUAUGUUUUCAUAUAACUUACAAAGGACUAUUAAUGUGCUAAAAUGUUUUUCAGUGACGUUCCCAGUAUUUCCUAAUAAUUCCUGCUGGUCUGUGAAGACCUUGCCUAACUACAAGGUUAUAACGUACCAUUUAACAAUAAACUCAUUUUAAAACAUCUUACCAACAGGUUUGGUGGGAUGUAUAUGGGCUGGAAACUGGUGUAGCACUUUCUGCUUGAUUGAAGACCAAAACGUGUUUACAGGUAGAAACGAAUGGGUCUGCUUCCAUUGAUCAUCUGGUGGGUAGCCAAGUUAGCUAGACUAACUUGAAAACCCACCAAAAUUGCAGGUGGUGGCAAAAUUCCAAAAUUAGUAGCGCGGCAUUCGUCAUUAGCUAACUAACGUUAGCAGGCUAACAUUACCUUGUUUUUAUAAGUGGUUGAGUAAAGUUGUCAACCAAAGCAACAAUACAAAUGAAAUUGGAUAUAAAUAAAGGAGUCUUUCGAUCAUGUCGUUGUUAGCUAAUAAAUUAAAAUGUCGUUUGAAAUCCUGGUUGCAUAGGUAGCCGAUGCUAAGCUAACCUAGCUACCAAGCUAACAGAUAGCUUGAUAGCUGUCUUUUUUAGCUAGCUAACCUUAUAAAUACCAUUAAAAUCGCCUGUCAAAAAGGUAAAAGAAAAACAUAGGAUAAAAAUGGCGCGGGGAAUGCCGUGAUAACUUAUUUAUGUCAGAUAGCCAUUCUUCAUCCAGGGACAAAUAUUUUCAAAGGCCUGCCUCUCCAUCGGCCCAGGAGGGCUGUUUUCGACUCGAUAACAAAAACUAUUUCCGCUGGGUUGGCCUGCUAAUUCAGAUAUGUCCCUUGUUUGAAGCGGUAGUUUCGAUGCUUGAAUCGUUAACUCUUCGAAUUUACCGAAAUUAGCCCUUUCUUUAGUGUUUGUCGUAUUUUCAUAAUUUUUCUUCGGUCAAAUAUUUUCCGCCCCGUGUCAAUUUUAGGUGUCCCCGUCUAUGGACUAUGCCUACGGCUCCUAAUGUUCUUCGAGUUAAAAUGGUAGCUUCCGGUCUGUAUUCU